UAGCCAACCCCCUAGUUACGCAGGUAGCCCUUCUUUAAACAUAAAAUGAGAGUUGAAAUCCUUCACUAACCAUCCUGUUAUGUGCUGUGCUGUGCUGUUCUUAGUUGCUCAGUCAUGUUCGACUCUUUGCAGUUCCAUGGACUGUAGCCCACCAGGCUCCUCUGUCCAUGGGAAUUCUCUAGGAAAGAAUACUGGAGUGGGUUGCCAUGCCCUCCUCCAAGGGAUCUUCCCAACCCAAGAGAUCGAACCCAGGUUUUCUGCAUUGCAGGUGAAUUCUUUACCAUCUGAGCAACCAGCGAAGCCCAACCAUCAUAUUAAAGCACCAAUUGAAAUGGAAUAUACCUUGAAAAAUCAGAGUUCUGGAGAAUCAGAGAAGGGAGAGAUCACAAACAGCUCCAUGGAAUCCAUGAGCACUGAAGAGAGGUAGGUCAGGCAGCAUCUGGAGGAGGGCACUCUGGAAACAACACUGUGGGCACUGGUACAGACACGAAAAGAAAAACAAAUGUUCAGGGGACAGAUUGCUUGAAACACAAGGUUUGGGUAUGCCAAGAUGACCGAAAAGAGGUGCUAUCUUGGGUUGCUGUUAAUAAUAAGGCAUUUGUGUGUUUCUCCAUAACUAAAAAGGGCUUCCGUGGUGGCUCAGACAGUAAAGAAUCUGCCUGCAAUGCAGGAGACCCGGGUUCCAUCCCUGGGUCAAGAAGAUCUCCUGGAGAAGGGAAUGGCAACCCACUCUCGUAUUCUUGCUUGGAGAAUUCCAUGGACAGAGCAGCCUGGCGGGCUACAAUCCAUGGGUUUGCAAAGAGUCAGAUACGACUGAGCGACUAACACACACACCAUAACUAAAAGAGCAGUGUUGUAUUAGUUACCUAUUCCUGUUGUAUUGUUACCUAUACCAAAAAAUUACUUAUUGGUUUAAAACAACCCAAAUUUAUUAUUGUACAACUCUCUAGAGCAG
ensembl:lncRNA